GGGCCCGCACAAGCGGUGGAGCAUGUGGAUUAAUUCGACGCAACGCGCAGAACCUUACCUAGCCUUGACAUGUUAGCGUACGGGUCCCAAAAGACCCCGACCUUUUGGAACGCUUUCACAGGUGCUGCAUGGCUGUCGUCAGCUCGUGUCGUGAGAUGUUGGUUAAGUCCCGCAACGAGCGCAACCCCUAUCCUUAGUUACCAGCGGUUCGGCCGGGCACUCUAGGGAAACUGCCGGUGUUAAGCCGGAGGAAGGUGGGGAUGACGUCAAGUCCUCAUGGCCCUUACGGCUAGGGCUUCACACGUGCUACAAUGGUCGGUACAGAGGGUUGCGAAAUCGUGAGGUGGAG
rnacentral:rRNA from 1 species